rnacentral:rRNA from 1 species
UCCUAAGCAGAAAACCUACCGCGCUUCGCUUGGUCAACCCCUCAGCGGCAAAAAUUAAAAUUUUUACCGCUUCGGCGUUAUAACCUCACACUCAAUCUUUUAUCACGAAGUCAUGAUUGAAUCGCGAGUGGUCGGCAGAUUGCGAUAAACGGUCACAUUAAAUUUAACCUGACUAUUCCACUGCAACAACUGAACGGACUGGAAACACUGGUCAUAAUCAUGGUGGCGAAUAAGUACGCGUUCUUGCAAA